ACACAGACACCUAUGUUGGUAAGUUUUGUUGUUGUUCGUAGGCGCAUCUGUACGACACAUCCACGCCACUUCUCUUCCACUGCUCCGUCUGCACGUUCUUUGAAGGUCUCUCUCUCUCUGGUCGUCUCUUCCCUUCGCCGAGUUCUCGCGGAGCUAUGCGGUGUUUUCUGUCGUGCUCCGCGCGAGACUGAUAAAGUCGUCAAGCACGGCUGGCGAUGCCGUGUGGUAUGCAAGACAGAGAAAACGUAACCAAGAAAAACAGAGAAGCGGGAUCGGUCUGUUUGCCCGUUUCUAUGUUUUGUGCGUCGCUUCAUGUGAGCCGGUGCAAACAUCUGAGAUGAGGCCGGCUGACUCUCUCCAGCCGGCGCACGCGAGGCUCGGAGAGCGAUGGUCCGAUGAAGGGCGUGACAGAAGACAGCUACGAGAAGGGAUAGGGACGGUAGCUUGGCAGAGAUGGAUGGCUUGAUGCGUUGAAAGGCGACGAGCACGCACAUCCGAGAGCCUGCGAGAUGGUGCAACAAAGAAAAGUCGAAGCACGGAGUACAUGAGACGCAGCGCUGAAAAGGGAAGUCAGCUGGGUAUGUAAGGUGCCGAUUCCCGUGUGUGCACGUCUUGUCGCAAAGAACACAGACCAACAACAGAAGACGCUGCUGCGUGCUGCGCAUGCAUCUGCGUGAACUGUUAGCGGACGGCUAGCGGUGCCAUCUCCGUUUCCUUUCUUCUGCCCUGUGCAUGUGUGGUGUCUGACCAUGGUGGGCCUCACACAACGAAACAUAUGCAGAGAUAUAUGCACAUCUCUAUGCAUGGAAACAAAAGACAAACACGCCAAGAAAACUCACAUGGGAACUUGAUGGUCGGAAGUUAAAGAACACAACAGAGGGUGGGGAAGGUGACUACAAACAAGGAAAGAAAGCGAACGAAAAAGAAGCUCAUCUUUCUCAUCUUUCUCGUCUUUCACUUGUUUUUGUUGUUGCUCACCUUGCCGCUUUCUUCUUCAUCCAUCGUGUUGUGGAGACAUGGGACAUGGAGACAUGAAGGGAGCGACUCUCCUCUCCCACUCUCUGUCUUUCCAGUGGUCAGGCUCGCGCCAUCAUCACGUGUGCGCGUUUGCCAACAUGCAAAAAAAAAACAAAUAAAGCAACAACAGCAAAAAAGAAGGCGCGCGACAAUGAUUUUUUUUUUCCUCUCCUUUUCUGGAGCCUCAUCAAGGUUUUCCCUUUGGUGCUCCUUGUCCUUCGCAUUUCUCUCCUAUUGUCUGUCUUGUGCGCGCACGCGCGUCCGUGCACGUGUGACCCUUUUCCUCGUGGUCCGCUACGGUGGGUGGGCGCUUCAACUUCUUUUCAUCGUCAUUUCUGUUGCCACACAGACGUGCUAUGCCCCACACCCCUCCCCCCUCCCGUUGUCUCUCUCUCUCUGCUCUUGUCGCUCAUGCCCUUGCCCUCAAGCUGCUCUUCUCUGCGCCCUCUUGCUUUCCUUUGUUCUUUGCUGUUCUCCCCGUGUGUGCUCCUUGCCCAGCCUUGCGCUAGAUUAGCCAAGACGCUCUCUCUCCCUCUCUCUGCACGUUAGCAGGGACAUAUCGCACGCAACUGGCCCUCGCCCUCCAUCCACCCAUCCAUCUCCGCUGACGCACUCCUCUCCGAAUGCUUGUCCUCUUCUUGUUUUGUUCUUUUUUGUUACCUUCACCCCCCCCCCAUGUCUCAUGUUGUUGCGUGUGUCUGUUGUGCUUGUGAAGGGCCGUUGUUCUCUUCUUUCGUUUUCCCUGUAUUCUCUGCCGCACGAUCUCUCUCUCGCUAACUUUUUCCCUGUACCGCCUUCCGUGUGAGAUGGGCUAUGGCUGAUUUCCGUCGUCUUGCCUUUCUCUGUUUCUUCUUCGGUUCGUACUGAUGCUUGUCGGUCUGUUUUUUUUUUGUUCUCCUCGCUCAUGUGUAUCGAUGAGUCUUUUCUCUGUUUCCGUCUCCGUCUCUUUCCCUCUCUCUUGCAUUUGCAUGUGUGCUUGUGCGGAAUAGGCUGCUGAGUGCGACGCGACAAUUCACAUCCACUCCAAACCCUGGCUCCCGCACGCGCACGCAGAAGAAAAAUACUAUGAGGAGGGCCCGCUACACCUCACUCUCGCAGCGCCGUGCAACGGUUGCCGAGGAAGACGAAAGCGAGAGAGCGAACGGAAUAUUAAGCAGACCAAGACAUCGCUUCCGCUAGGGCAGGAGGGUGGAAAACAACCACGAAGAAAGAAACACGCAUGAUGCGUACACCGUUGGGACUUGUGCAUGUGCUUGAUGUCUACGUGAAUGCUUUAUUCGUAACCCGCUCACUUCUCUGAGAGCCAUUCUCUCUCUCUCUCUCCCAUGUGAACGAACGAAAGCAAAAAAAAACACAGCAGAAAAAGAAGGGAGAAAGAAGGGGGAUCGAUAAUACACAAAGGCAAAAGUGUAGGCGAAUGCCGGAAAUGAAUGCCGAAACCAAAAGGCGGAAGAAACAAACAAAGGGAUGGCGCGCGAACUCCACCGUUCCCAUUGACCGGCACGCGAGUGUCAGAGAGGACGCGCGCGGUGCGAGCGUAAUAGGUUGUACUCUGUGGAAGUAGUGGUCUGUACAUGCUGUCGCCGCGCAUGUUCUUCUGUCCAUUCUCCGUCGUCUGGCCUCUCUUCCCUCCCGGUUCAGGCGUCACGAGACUCUCUUUGCGAGCUUGCGCGUGUUGCUG
rnacentral:misc_RNA from 1 species